rnacentral:rRNA from 1 species
GGAAUUUUGCGCAAUGGGCGAAAGCCUGACGCAGCAACGCCGCGUGAGUGAUGAAGGCCUUCGGGUCGUAAAGCUCUGUCAGAGGGGAAGAACCGCCGGGUGGCUAAUACCUGCCUGGUCUGACGGUACCCUCAAAGGAAGCACCGGCCAACUCCGUGCCAGCAGCCGCGGUAAUACGGAGGGUGCGAGCGUUGUUCGGAAUUAUUGGGCGUAAAGCGCGUGUAGGCGGUUCUCUAAGUCUGAUGUGAAAGCCCCGGGCUCAACCCGGGAAGUGCAUUGGAAACUGGAGAACUUGAGUACGGGAGAGGGUAGUGGAAUUCCGAGUGUAGGGGUGAAAUCCGUAGAUAUUCGGAGGAACACCGGUGGCGAAGGCGGCUACCUGGACCGAUACUGACGCUGAGACGCGAAAGCGUGGGGAGC